rnacentral:rRNA from 1 species
AGAAUCAACGCUGGCGGCGUGCCUAACACAUGCAAGUCGAGCGCGAAAGGGGAGCAAUCCCCAAGUAGAGCGGCGAACGGGUGAGUAACGCGUGGGUAAACUACCUCCGAGUGGGGAACAACAGCGGGAAACUGCUGCUAAUACCGCAUGACAUCGUCGAGCCUUCGGGCAUGACGAUCAAAGCCGGGGACCGCAAGGCCUGGCGCUUGGAGAGGAGCCCGCGUCCGAUUAGCUAGUUGGCGGGGUAAUGGCCCACCAAGGCUCCGAUC